AUACGUAGGGGGCAAGCGUUGUCCGGAAUUACUGGGCGUAAAGGGUGCGUAGGCGGCAAUGCAAGUCUGGAGUGAAAGCCCGGGGCUCAACCCCGGGACUGCUUUGGAAACUGUGGAACUGGAGUGCAGGAGAGGUAAGUGGAAUUCCUAGUGUAGCGGUGAAAUGCGUAGAUAUUAGGAGGAACACCAGUGGCGAAGGCGACUUACUGGACUGUAACUGACGCUGAAGCACGAAAGCGUGGGGAGC
rnacentral:rRNA from 1 species